UAAAGGAUAGUAUAAGGUUUAUUAUAUAAAGCUGUUAACUUUGUGAUGUGCAUAAAGCACUCUUUUAG
rnacentral:tRNA from 1 species